GGAUUUAUUUUAUUACUUAUGGGGGCUUUCACAGCUUUAUGGCUGUUGGAUAUUUAUGUCCCCAAACUUGCAGCAAGUUUGGUGAAGGCCCCUAAAUUUAAUUAAACUUAGGAUUUUUAUAUUCCUUUGGCAGAGAAGGCUCUAUAUUAAUAUUCACGUUUGACUGUGGUGUUAAUAAGCAUAAAUAAGUAUUGCUUUAUUACAUAAUAUUUAAAGCUUUAUGAACCUUAGUAAAUUCACCAUUUUACAUUCUUGAUUUGGAGGCCUGGUAUGCUUCAUUCAAAUUUUUAUUUAGACCUCUAGGAAAAUCAUUGGUUGUUGUUUGCUCAAACUUUUACCUCAAGGAUAAGUUUAAUUAUUUGAAUUGCCACAGGAUACUGCAGUUUGUUCUAAAUCUCAAGCUUAUAUAGAACAUCAAGGUGGUAAGGUCAUCUGGAAAUGCUUAUGCUCUUUAAUGUUCUCACCACACUAGAGCAAAUGUUAAUGUAGAGCCCUGUAAUGAGUGGGAAGGUGAUUUGUCUGUGCUUGUGUGGUGUGUAUGGGUGUAGACUACAGGUGUGGUGUUCUAAAAGGGUUUGGGUGUUACAUGUCUCAAUGGAAAGAGAACUAAUUUCCAGGUAGCCAAACUGAAUUGGGUCAUGUGAUGAAUAUGAACUCGUUUGGAAUAAUUUUGGAAGUUAAAUUUUCAGGUUUUACUGAGCAGCGCUUUAUGUAAUGCACACACCAGUAGUAUAUCCACAUUUCAAGUAGAAUUUGCUUUGAUUUUGGUGUUCAGAAUGAUUAUGUUGGGAAAUGGGAUGGUGGCAGAAAGUAGCUUCUAACUUGUUUAUUCUUUACAUCAGACUGGAAACAGAUUUUAAUCCUUUUUUUAGUUGUUGCUUUGUGGAUAUUUUAAUUUUAGAUUUUUGAGAUAGGGGUUUCUCUGUAUAUAUAGUCCUAGCUGUCAGUCUGGAACUCUCGUUUACAGGCUGGCCUCGAACUCAGGGAUCUCCCUGCCUCUCUGCUUCCCCAGCAUUGUGAUUAAAGGCCUGAGCCCCGACACCUAUCAAGAUUUUAUUUAAUACUUUUAAGAACUACUAUUUCCGUGACGAUGUUCCACUGGAUUGUUUAUAACUUAGUAAAUUACAGAUUUUUUAAAACUUGUUAAGUAGACUUCACUAUAGUACAGUCAUAGGAUGCUUAUCUAAUGUGCUAUGUACAAGACCUUGGAUUUCAUUCCUAUCACCAUUUAACAACUAACUGGAGGUAUAUUUUUAUCUUGUAUCCACCCUGCUCUAGUAUAUUUAAAUAUCUUGAAGUUGCCUUACCCAAUUCUAAGUUAAAAUUAAAAUAGGUUCUUGAAUAUUUUCUUGAAUAUAGAGGUAGGGGAGCAAUUUACUAACGACAAUACAUUUGCUUAAUAAUGAAUACAAAAUGAUUCUUUGCAUUUGGUUGUAUUCCUAACAAUUGGGAAUUUGAGGUAGGAAGAUUGCUGUGAGUUUGGGGUCAGCCUGGGUGGGUUACAGAGUAUAAGACCCUGUCAGGGUGGAGAUGCAGGCUUUGUAGUUCUAUGAUCCAGAGAACCAGUUGAGAAUUAUGUAGUUUCAGGUUUCUGUAAAGCACACUGGUAAAACUUACCAAGUUUCACUUUGUUCAGAUUUAGUUUAGUAAGGGAAUGUGGGAUUUGUAUAUUUGUAUUGGUUAUAAUUUACAAACUAAAUGCCCUAAAUUUUUAAUAAAUCUGAUAGAUGUUUUUAAAGGUAAUAUCUACCUAUGUAAUACUAGUGGUGUCUUCAUAAGUGAAACUAAUUUUCUUGUAGCUUCUGGAAAAUUCACUCCAAAAGGAUAGUCAGUGAAAGGACUGGGUGUACAAGUAAACGAUACUGAGUAAAAUAUUCUCCGUUCUCUGUCCUGGCUUCCUCAUGAAUGAAACAGAGGGUUUUCCUUUCUCUUUAACCUUUGUCAAUAUUUUUUAAUUUUAAUUUUAAUAAUCUUGUUUAUAGUAAUUAAAUUUCUUUGUGAUAAUUCUUUGUAGAAUUUAAGCAUUGUAACAGUAUAUUUUCUUUUAAGGAAUACGGUAUAGUUCCAGCUCUCUGGAGGAUGAGAUGAGAUCAGGGUUAUUUCAGCAACUUGAAGGGCAGCCAGGGUUAGAAUAAGGUUCAAUAAACACCAUUUUCUUCUGGGUGUGGUGUUGUGCACCUUAAUUCUAAUACUCGGGAGAAGUCUGUGGAGUCAGACUUGUCUGUGAAUGUAUGAGUUCACAGCAUCCAGCUCUACAUGAGACUGGAUCCUUAAAAAGAUUGCUAAUUUAAAAAAAAAUUCUAAAAAAAGUUGUUUUUAAUAGCACUAUUUUUACUCCUAAGUGCUAUACAUUCAUUAAUAAUAUUUUGUUCCUCCAAAGGAAAUAAUCAUCUCCAGCUCUGAAUAACAAUUUAAAAUUCAAUUAGUUUGAAAGAAUUAAAUGGAUUUUCUUUUUUUCUCUAUCAGCUUUUUUUUUUUUCUUUAGGAAUGGAUAUGUAGAUUCCCAAAGUAAUGGUAUACAGCCUAAAAUAGUGUUCACAUAAUUUCAAUUUUUGUUAAAUAAGUUAAAUGUAUUGAAUACUGUAUAACUAAAACUGGCACAGUGGAUAUUAACUUUGAUGGAUUAGGAUCUUGAGGAUGAAUAUGACAAUUUUUUUUGUGUGUGUGUGUGUUGUCAUUUUGGACAAACUCAUUGCCAAGGGGAUAAAUGUGUGUACAUUGUUUUAAAGGAUUACUUGGACUCCAGCCAUUACUUUAAUCUUUGCUGUGAUUUGUAAGGUUACAGGCAGUUUGAAUACCUGAACUUGUGGCAUUUCCUAAGCCCUCUGAUGUUGUUAUCUGGGAACUCUGUGUGUCUUGCUAUUAGGCCUUUAUUAUGGCUAAAGAAUCUGUUUUUACCUUUGAAAUUCUUUGAUUGCCCUACUUGAAGAAUGAAGCUGGCCCAGUGGCACAGUGCAUGUUAAGCAUGCAUGAACCCCCUGGAUUCAAUCCCCAGCACCAAAAACAGAAAAGAAAAAGAAGAAUGAAGAUUCGUUUCCCCAAUACAUUAUACAUUAACGGAUACUCAUUAUGUGGGAAAGAAACUAUUGUUUGGUAGGUUUAGAGUUAAGAAACUUAAAUGCUAUGAAAAUAAGAAUAUUUCCUUGAGACUUUACCCUUUUAUUUUGGUAAAGAUCAUUAUUGGUGACUUUUUUUUAAAGAUAGUCUGCUAAUACUGUGUGAAAAUAUCAUUUUCACUGUCUGUUCAAGGGUUGUUUACUUGCCCAAGUUGGCCAAGAGAAGAAAUAGCUCUUCCAUUGGAAUCAGAGACAGGGCAUCUAUUUAGAGUUAAUUCCCCUUUCCAGCUAUACUUGGAGAAGGAACAGAAUUCAUAGACAGUUUUUAAGAUUGAGAUUAAUAAAAUUUCAUGACAAUUUAAAGUUAAAAUCGACUGUAAGGUUUGUCUAAUUGAUAUUAGGAGGUGAUUGUAUUUCAAUACAUGUGCCCCUUGCCUUUUUCUGCAACCAAGAUUUCCAGUACACUUAACUUCCCACAUUGAAUACAUUAUUGAUUAAAAUGAAAGCAUGUCCAAGAGCUAUUUCAGUGUUGCUAGCUCGUUUUCAAGAUCACUCAGUUUCAGUAGCCAAUGUAAAGUAAUCUUUAUUAAGCUUAGGGAACCUUUAAAAUGUACUGCUAUCAGGCUCUGAGGAAAUUAAUGCACAUUGACUUUUUAAGUAUGGGUUGAACUCCUCAGUUUAAUACAAUUUGUGUUUUUGUUAACUAGCAGCAGAAUUUCAGCAUUUGCUACUUACUGGUAGAGAAGAAAAACCCCACAGCCCUGCCAGUACAGGUUAGUUUAAUCUGUAAGUACCUGAUGUUCCUUUUUUUUUUCCCCCAACCCCACAAACAUAACCAUUUAAGGCACGUAAGGAAGAAAACUGCUGUGCAGUUUCUUAAAUGUGAGUAUAAGUAAUAGGUCCAUUGGAUGUUCUCACUCAGUUCAUGGACCAAAUGUAGCUUUAGGUUUGGGGACCUCCAUGGUAAUAAAGGUGUAAUGCUGCUCCUUCAUAGUCAGUUGGUCUUGACCUAUGUAGAUGCUUCCUAUAUAAAGAGAGAAGAAACACCACGGUGGUAACACAAGGCUUCAGAUCCACUGCUGUAAUUGCUCCUCGGUGGUUGUUACCCUUUACUUUCUACAAUAUGAGUCAACCUUUAAAGCUUUAAAUAUCGUAGUAAUACUUGUAAAUAAUUUGUGUGUCUCUGAAAGCUAUAAAUUACAUUAGUGUGCCACUUUGUCACUGGCAUGGAAGCUCACUGCACAUUCAGAACCCUGCACAGUUGUGCACGUCUUUAAUCCCAGAACUCUGUAGGCAGAGGUAGAAAUAGUAUAAAUUUAUGGCCAGGCUAGGCUGUGUAAUGACUCCCUGUCUUUUUGUUUGUUUGUUUGUUUCCUUUAAAAAAUAAAAGUAAUUCUUGGAAGACGAGGAAGUCAUGCACAUCUUGCUUGAGAUUUAACCAGUAAAAUUUAUAAGAAUGGCGUAGAUACAGUGGAAAUGGUUUUCCUUAAAACCAUCUCUUUAGAGCUGCCUUUCUGGUGAGUACUGCUUUAUAAUUUUUGUAUCACGGUUUUAUUUUUUUUUAAGCUAGCUGGAAGGUGACAGUGAUUGAAAUGAUCAGUCAAUUUUCAAAACUUGGAUCAGAACCUUAAGAUAUUUCCCUAUGUUGCCUAUUUUGAUUCUCUCUCUUUUUUUUUUUUUAAUGUUUAAGAAAAUGUAGGAACAGGAGAGAUGGCUCAAUAGUUAAGACUAUGUCAUACUCCAAGUGUGGUAGCACACACACUCUGUAGACAGAGGCAAGUGGAUCUCUGAGUUCCAGGACAACCAGGGUUGUGUAAAGGAGUUCCCCCCCCCCCCCAAUACCCCAAAAGGAAAAAAAGAAAUGUGUCAUGCAUUUGUUGUUCAGGUUUCCAAUAUCCUUGUCACGUGGCUCACAGCCACCUAGCUCCUUCAGGAUCUGACACUUUGUGCUCAUGUACAUAAAAUACAUAAUUAAAAGAUACAUAUAUUUUCAAAAACCAGAGAUUACCUUUUCCCCCCAGUACUCAUUUCCCGCAGUGUAGGUUAACAAAAUAAUAGAUUGUAUUAUGAUAGUAUUCUCUUGCGUACUGAGCUAUAUAAGUCAUUCGAACCCUGCAUGGAAAACUUGCAUAACAAAUACAGGUUUCUAGUAGUUGUUUACCUGUGAAAAUUAGCUUACAAAUAUUUAUUACUGUCUUGUUUAGUGAUUAGCCUGUAACAUAAGGAUUUCUUUCCCUGUAGUUUUUAACUAGAUUCUAGAUUUGUAUAUACAUUGUACUUCUGCUAUGACCUUUGUCAAUAAAUCUACCUUUUCCUUCCUUAGUAUAGACGAUAUUUGUUUACUAAAGUCUGAGUAUGUAUGUUAAUAUAUUAUAGAUGAGCUCUCAACAAAGUUUUGAGCCUAAAUUUGUGUCUUUAGAUUUAAAGUGAAAUAAAUUUCUAAGGAACUCUGUCCUUUCCUAGCAUGGAUAAGCAGACAGUGACAGUUGGUAAGUAUGUAACUUCAAAUGCAUGUAGUAGUGGUAAAGGUGAGCUCCCAAAUGGUAUUCCAAUAUCAUUAGAAGUGAGUCCUUCUAGGACUUUAUAUAUAUAUAUAUAUAACGUUUUCUCCAAAUCUAUGUACUCAAUGAUUAAACUGAAAUGUACCUUACUUGUCUGAUUUCGUUUUUCUUUUUGUUUUUAGGAGAUAUUUGUAUGGUAGUUUAAAAUCUAAUUUUAUAUUUAAAACUUUCCUUGGUGUGUAUCAUGAAGUGGCUCUUCUUCUGACUACCCAAUAUUAACCCAGAGUUUACUUAACACUUCUUUUUCAUUUCCAUUUAUAAAUAAGGAAAUUAUGGUGGCAAAGGGAAAGAGCCAUUCUAAUUUCUGUAAUAGGAAAUCAGUGCACAAUUUAAGGUUUGUUUUUAUUUGUCUGUGGUGCACCCACAUGCAGUUUUCUCUUGAGGCCAUAAGAAGAUUAUCUGAUAAUUAGAGUGGAGUGGAGCUUCAGACACUUGUAACCUACCACUGUAGGUUAUACUUUGUUCAUCCCUGAGCCAGUGUGGGCCAGUGUUGGAGUUUGGUGGUGGGAAGAGAGCUUUCUUAUUUCUUAGGAUUAUGUGUCCCCUCCCUGUCCCCAAUGGUGAGAAUUAUCACCAACAUCGGGGGUGUGUAGGUAGUUCAGAGGAGACUUUUUUGUGUUCAUAUGUGGUUUCUAGGGAGCCAUCUCAACCCUCUGGGGUUCUGUUGGUAACAGAAGUAUGACAGGUAAAGUGAAAAAGAUUUAAUUUUAUUUCUGACACGUCGUUUUUUUUUACAGCAUUGUUUUCUGAAAAGUUAAAGAAAUGGGUAUGCAUGUCUUUAAUUUAGUCUCUAGGUUACUCCUGACAGGUGUCAGUUGGAUUUGGAGAAAAUGAAGAGCAAAAUCAUAUGGGGGAUGUGAUUGUAUGGAGGAUCUGAGCGUAGCACCAGAAGGAAGAAUAAGUUUGCUAGCCUAUGUAUGAUUAAAUGGUAUAUGAGCAGACAUCAUUAUAUCAUCUUUUACAUAACUAAGUCUUUUAAAGGUAAUUAUAUGCUAGCCUUUAAUUCAUUAACAUUGGAACCUUGUGAUAUAUGAAUUUGGUCGUUUAUUUUAAAAUAAAAAUUUCCCACACAAA